GUCUGUCUAUGACUUCAAAUGAUGCGUCACGUAUGAAACAUUAAGUUUGAUUAACGCACAUUUUUAUUGGACAUCUGUUGGACGUUUCAUUAAAUAUAACUUCUUUCUUCAUUUUUAAACAGACUGAAUUUAUAUUUUUAUUUUUUUCUUUAAUUUAUUUUGACUUCAUGUUUGUCAGACUGGUUUUGUGUUUUUGUGCCGAGUCUUAUAAGACUGUCUCAGAGUCCUGACAGUCUUUGUUUGAAGGAUGACUUUUAUGGAUGUUGUUCGUCUGUUUAUGAUUUCAGACGUGACCUCGUGGUUUGAUUCUCCGCCUGCGGCUGAAUGAAGAUGAAAUGAGUUCAUGUCACUCAGAUUUUGGACCCAGCCGGGAAUGCUGAUGAAACCAGAACCAGAACCAGGAAACAGACCUGGACUCUACAGCACGGCUAACUGAGCUAAACGGCUAACCUGACGUUAGCUGUAAAUCAGAAACAGACAAACCUCGGUACCGGUUCUGUCUGACCCGAUCCUCCGACACGCUCUCAAUGAUACAGAUGAUUUACAUAUCAGCUGAUUGACGGCCUGAUCAGAGGUAGAAAUCAUCUUCACGUGGAGUGUCCCUCGUUACGUGUCGUCACGGGACGUUUGGGCGGUCGAGGAUUCUCCGGUUGCCACUCAAGUCUAUCAAUGUCAGCGCCGGGCUCAGCCCCGGCCAUAUAUUUGGAUUAAACAGUCAGAGUCAUUACAGCCAGUGUUAUUGACCUUUUAAGAUACAACUUUAAUAGCUUUUCUCUCCCGUCUCGUCUGUCUCGCGGUGAAACAUGAGCGGCCGCCGUGCUGAUGAAGUCCCCCUCAGGGUUUGCCUGGAAUUGGAAUCAAAUACUUUAGAUCCCCUCUUCCUCGCCCGUAAUGCCGCCGGCUUUGUGCCACAGAAAGGAGAAAUUAAAGGAAAAGCACACAGUGAGAAUGAGGAGCAGCGAUCGGGAUUACCACACAGGACACUCAUUUUCCAGUGACCGGCCAAGCUCGACAAAGCCGCGUGUUGGACUGAGACCACGCCGGCUGUGAUCCGGCAGGAAGGGGGGGCUAACGGCACCGCCGCGGGACGGCACGGAAUAAAGACGCGCCGUGAAAUAAACGAGCACGUGGAUAAAUAAAGAGUUUAAAUGAAGCAGCAAAG